rnacentral:lncRNA from 1 species
AAGAAAUGCAACUCACAGGGUCUUCAGAAAAUCAGGACACCUUUCAAGGCAGCCAGUCUAACCUUUGGCAGAACUGUUACAUUAAUCUUCCUUAAAGAGAAUGUUGUGGGUGCCACAACAGGCCUGUUGGAACCUCUCCAGAAACUGUGGCAUAUGUAUUAAACUAAGCUUGAGCAAGGGAAAGAAGAAGGAAGAAUAUCAGUACUUCAGAGAAUCUAUGUUUGUGAGGCCAUGGACUAGGGUUGGAAAGAAUGAGGGUCAUGAAUGGAGGUGAUCUUCAGUGUUGGAAAGAGAAUCCACAUUGACGAGAUCAACAGAUUCAUCAAAAUAUUGAGAUAUGAAUUGUCAUCAUUCAUCACCAAAUGACUAAGAGCCUCUUUGGAUUUAGUUAAGCUGUUCUUCAGAAAACAGGCAUGGGUUAUUUGCAAGUAUACUAAAAUUAUGCUAAAAUCUACCAAAGUUUGUUCUACAUUA